AUUGAACGCUGGCGGCAGGCCUAACACAUGCAAGUCGAACGAGUGGCGGACGGGUGAGUAAUGUCUGGGAAACUGCCUGAUGGAGGGGGAUAACUACUGGAAACGGUAGCUAAUACCGCAUACCAUCGGAUGUGCCCAGAUGGGAUUAGCUAGUAGGUGGGGUAAAGGCUCACCUAGGCGACGAUCCCUAGCUGGUCUGAGAGGAUGACCAGUCACACGGGAACUGAGCCACGGCCCAGACUCAGACGCGAGGCAGCAGUGGUGAAUAGUGGACAAUGGGCGCAAGCCUGAUGCAGCCAUUCCGCGUGGAUGAAGAAGGCCUUCGGGUUGUAAAGGACUUUCAGCGUGGAGGCGUUACCCGCAGAAGAAGUACCGGCUAACUCCGUGCCAGCAGCCGCGGUAAUAC
rnacentral:rRNA from 1 species